AGAACAAAUUGGGCAAUUACCGCGUAUUUUUACAAAAAUACGGGGAGGAAAGUCCGGACAUUCCGCUCUGAUUUUAUUGGAGCAAGGGUAGCGGGUAACGCCCGUCAUCUCGAUUUUAUCGGGAUAGAGGUGCGAGCAGAGACGCUUUGAUUUGAAAAAAUCGAGCGCCCUUUUGAAAGAAAGGGCGAGUCCUGACGGCAACGUCGGAGGUGAAACGGCUAAAUCCUUACUUGGAUGCAAGAUCGUGUUCAAUAUUCCCCUAGGAAAUAUUGAAAGUGUCGCUUGAAUCCGACGGCAACGUCGGAUCUAGAUAAAUUAUUGCCCCUGUCUGCCGAUAGGCAGGCACGACAGAAUCCGGCUUAUAGAUUUGUUCUGAUA
rnacentral:RNase_P_RNA from 1 species